CACAUUUUACAUUUCUGUUUAAUUUCUACAGUGGUAUGAGGGCUUUAAAAUUAUAUGCAGCAUAAUAAUUACACAGAAUCCAAAAAUGAUAGCCUAAGUCUGGAAAUUUCUCUAACCUAAAUCUGUAGCUACACUUUUACUGGUGAAUCAGAAUUCCCAUGUUUAUAAUAAUAAUAUGAUGAUUAAUGUCUGUAUAGUGAUGUUUAUAAAUAUGUGCAUUUAUUUUUCAAAAAUAUUGUAAUCACAGCGAUUUUGCUUUAUUCUGAGACUUAAAAAAAAGAAAAAGAUUUUUGAGCCAUUUGUUAUUUUAAAACUGAGUGAUUGGCAAACUCGUUAGUCUGUGGAGGGUUGCGUAUCGCAGACCGCAUGCGUUCAAUGAUAGAAUAACAAUUAUGUGUCUGUGUGACGAGGGGACGUGUGACGUUGUGUGGGUAGCACUGUUGGCAAUGAUUCUUAUGACCAAAGGUGAUACAGAACGGUUUACAGAGGCGGCCAAUAUCUUGGCAUACGGGCUUUUAACUACUAAUUGUCGUCCAAUCUGCAGCAAUAGUCUACUAAAGAACUUUGUAAGCUUAAGUGGGACCUAUAGAAAUCAUGUCGUCCUAGGCACUUAGUCCUGUCACCACGAUCAGCUAAAUACCAAAUUUGUGUAAAAGUGUGCGCGUCAUGCACUCUUUCUGCUGCAACGAUGUGAUUGGCGUGAUUGAUCAAUAAGUCUUCCACCCAAUAACUUCAAUAUCCCGCUUUGGUUUAUCUUUCCAGCUUAAGGGUCUACCCCGGACCCCCAGUGUUCUCGGGAACAGUCCCAGUGAUUUGUGAGUUUACUUCUAUGACAGGGCUUACUAACCGAUACCACCUAUACCAGGGGAAGGGUGCAUGAUUAGGAAUAGGUUUGUAUGGGUGGGUGUGCAGGUCAACAUCUAAUCAUUUGUGUCUAGUCUUCAACAGUAGUCUGUGGUCAGGGCGCUUUGGGGAUUAAGAGGUGCGGAAGCAAAGUCACAUCAUCUAACCUCUGUCCUGGAUACGCGGCUAUAGAAUACGCACUAAUAAAGCUCAGUCCUCCUAAGAGUACAGUUUCCGUGUCGUCAAUAUUUUCUCCAAAAACUACAUGUUCGUGAUUUCGCAGGCUACUAGAUAUCACUUAAGACCGUCUAUCGUGGAGUCACGUGGGAUUGGUGUGUUGAUGUGUCGGGGUGUAAUGUGUCAUGUGUGUGGGCGUGUAUAUGCAGAUCGUUGCUCGUGAGCGUAGGUCCUCCUAGAGGCCUCUUGAUAGAGAAUUAUGGUCUAGUUCUCCUAUUGCAAUCCCGUCCUCUCCAGCUCAAUGCUUGGCUCUGGCACCCUCCAGUGCAGUGGCUCGCAUGCACCCAUGUGGCUCUCCGGCUGACCUUUACCAUGGAGUGAGUGACGAAAAGGAUCUAGAAUGGCCCCGACCACCGUGGCUUGUUCCACCUGGUCCUGCGGAAGUCCUUGAUCACGAUCCACUCUCCGGGCUUCAGUUCAUGCAGCGGACCCGUAGCUGGACCUGGAAGUGCUACCUUUACCUGCUUGUGGAUAGAGUGCAGAGCAGAGGACAGGGUUGCACAAUAAUUUAACAUUGCAUCAUCACAUGCUGCAGCGUCGGGAAGAGGAGCUGUCACAGGCCCAACUCCUGUUUGUGGACGCCUCCCAAACAGUAUCCCAAAGGGGCUAAGCCCAUCCUAAGCCUGCUUCAGAACAGCAUUUGCUCAAUCUGUUUUUUAGUGUCCCAUUUUCACUCUCUACCACCCUACCACUAACUGGAUGAUAUGCACAGCGCUGCUUUAAGUCAAUACAGAUAUAUUCACCCACCUACUUAAGGGCAUGGCUCACAAAAGGUGUGGCAUUAUCACUGGAGAUUAUCAUUAGGGACGUGGCCUUCUCUACCUUCAAACCUCAACCCACGUUAUGAGUUGCACAAAGAUCGUAAACAAAAUGAUUAUUUAAUUAAUUAAUUAAUUAAUUUUUUAAGAGUAAUUAGAGAAACCAAUGCUUUAUCGCUGCUAUCAUUCCCCCUUUUUGACGCAUGGUCCCUGCCAUGCAUCAACUUUGAAGACAAGGACAGCCCUGGGGGCACCGCCAAACUCCGUCAACAACUGUGCAGCCUGCUUUGUGCCACACAGCCUUUUCCAAAUAGCCCGUGCUUGGAGAUCUGAAAGCUGUAAAGAAGGAGUGAUUAUUUUCUUUUGCGUUUUAGGACCAUAGAUGCAGCUGCUUGCUUUGCUGCACUGUCUGCUCGAGCGUUUCCAAGGAAAACAGGGUCUAAUUUGUUAGUGUAUGCAUCACAUUUGCAUACUGCAAUAGUUUUGGGGAGUAGGACUGCGUCCAGCAGCUCAAAGACUAGUUUGUGGUGGGCUAUGGUGUGCUAUGGUAUAACUUUCAAAGUUUUAACGGAUUUAACGAGCUAUGAAAAUCAAGUGAAUAUGCAUUCUCGUGCACGGAGAGAAAAGGUUCUAGUGUGUGCCAAAUCUCUAGACAUUCAAUUAAUCAUAUAACCUAUAGGUUCAAUAAAGCAAACCUUAAGAAUGUAAAAGAGUUUUACAGUUUGGUAGGGCUUACAGUUUUCUCUUCCCUUCUUUAAAAAAAAAAAAUUAUUUCUUCUUUUUUUUUUUUAGCUCAGUAAUAUUUACUUGUGCGUUAAAUUUGACAAAUGUAUCAUGUACCGCUGAUAUGAGGGAAUGAGUCAAUGGGGAAUGACACUUGAUAAUAACCCGCCGCAGAAAAAAUACUGCACCUCUUGCACUUCUUAAUAAGUACUCUCUUUACUUAUUUAUUGCUCUAACUGGAGUCUUUCCGUUAGCAAAUAUUUUUACCGUUAUUAUCUCUCUCUCUCUCUCUCU
ensembl:lncRNA